rnacentral:sRNA from 1 species
UUUUGAUCUUAUUGAGUCCAAUAAUUGGAAAUCGUGAAUUUUUGUACGGAGAUUUUUAGUACGUUUGUGUCUAUAUAUGCAAAGGAAAGGAACUGUUUAUCCAAAAAAUAAUUUGUACUCAAUACAUGUAGUUUUGAAAGAAGAAUUUUAGGGUUUAUCAAAGCAAAGAAACAAAAUGCUGUUUUCUGAUGUAUUUUUAAAUUGUGUUUGUGACACUUUUUUAGCUACAUUUGAUAAGGGGGUAUACGUGUUCUAAAGGUCGCAGAAAAAAAAAAAGAAGCAUGUGAAUUCCUAUAUUUUUUUUGCUUUUUAGUUGCAGUAGACAUAAAUCUAAUAUUUUAAAAUUUUAAAAAUCGUGUUUAACCAUUAAACUUUUAAGAUAAGUUAAAGAAUGUGAAAUUGUGUAAAAAUUUUGAAAUAGCAUUUCAUUUUAAAAUUCAAUUCUAAUCAAUCAAAUAAUGAUAAUCACACUUUUUAUUACUUUCUUACAUAUUUAAUGAUUAAUUAAAACAUUUGAAUCUU